rnacentral:rRNA from 1 species
AGAGUUUGAUCAUGGCUCAGAACGAACGCUGGCGGCGUGCUUAACACAUGCAAGUCGCGUGCGCAGUUUCCGUAGCAAUACGGGGAUGGGCGCACGGCGCACGGGUGCGUAACACGUGGGCAAUCUGCCCUCCGAUGGGGAAUACCCCCGCGAAAGCGGGACUAAUUCCGCAUAACAUUCCUUGGAUUAAUUUUCGAGGAUUCAAAGCAGCAAUGCGUCGGAGGAGGAGCCCGCGCCCGAUUAGCUAGUUGGUGAGGUAACGGCUCACCAAGGCAAUGAUCGGUAGCUGGUCUGAGAGGAUGGCCAGCCACACUGGAACUGAGACACGGUCCAGACUCCUACGGGAGGCAGCAGUGGGGAAUCUUGCACAAUGGGCGAAAGCCUGAUGCAGCGACGCCGCGUGGGGGAUGAAGCUUUUCGGAGUGUAAACCCCUUUCGACUGGGACGAAUGCCUCGCAAGAGGAGUGACGGUACCAGUAUAAGAAGCCCCGGCUAACUACGUGCCAGCAGCCGCGGUAAGACGUAGGGGGCCAGCGUUGUUCGGAAUUACUGGGUGUAAAGGGUUCGUAGGCGGUGUGGCAAGUCGGGAGUGAAAUCUCUGGGCUCAACCCAGAGACUGCUUCCGAAACUGCUGUGCUUGAGUGUGAGAGAGGCUCGUGGAAUUGCAGGUGUAGCGGUGAAAUGCGUAGAUAUCUGCAGGAACACCCGUGGCGAAAGCGGCGAGCUGGAUCACUACUGACGCUGAGGAACGAAAGCUAGGGGAGCAAACAGGAUUAGAUACCCUGGUAGUCCUAGCCCUAAACGAUCAGGACUUGGGGUGCCGCCCGUUCGGGCGUCGUCCCGGAGCUAACGCGUUAAGUCCUGCACCUGGGGAGUACGGUCGCAAGACUGAACUCAAAGGAAUUGACGGGGGCCCGCACAGCGGUGGAACAUGUGGUUCAAUUCGACGCUACGCGAGGAACCUUACCUGGGCUCGAAAUGCUAGUGAC